UCCCUGGUGGUCCAGUGGUUAGGACUUGGCACUUUCACUGCCUUGGCCUGGGUUAGAUCCCUAGUUGGGGGA
rnacentral:tRNA from 1 species